rnacentral:rRNA from 1 species
GACGAACGCUGGCGGCGUGCCUAAUACAUGCAAGUUGAGCGAUGAAGAUUGGUGCUUGCACCAAUUUGAAGAGCAGCGAACGGGUGAGUAACGCGUGGGGAAUCUGCCUUUGAGCGGGGGACAACAUUUGGAAACGAAUGCUAAUACCGCAUAACAACUUUAAACAUAAGUUUUAAGUUUGAAAGAUGCAAUUGCAUCACUCAAAGAUGAUCCCGCGUUGUAUUAGCUAGUUGGUGAGGUAAGGGCUCACCAAGGCGAUGAUACAUAGCCGACCUGAGAGGGUGAUCGGCCACAUUGGGACUGAGACACGGCCCAAACUCCUACGGGAGGCAGCAGUAGGGAAGCUUCGGCAAUGGACGAAAGUCUGACCGAGCAACGCCGCGUGAGUGAAGAAGGUUUUCGGAUCGUAAAACUCUGUUGGUAGAGAAGAACGUUGGUGAGAGUGGAAAGCUCAUCAAGUGACGGUAACUACCCAGAAAGGGACGGCUAACUACGUG